rnacentral:rRNA from 1 species
ACGCUCGACACCUACGGGAGGCAGCAGUGGGGAAUAUUGCACAAUGGGCGAAAGCCUGAUGCAGCAACGCCGCGUGAGCGAAGAAGGCCUUCGGGUCGUAAAGCUCUGUCCUCAAGGAAGAUAAUGACGGUACUUGAGGAGGAAGCCCCGGCCAACUACGUGCCACCAGCCGCGGUAAUCUGAGCGGGCUGGCAAGGC